AGUAAUGAAGGAAAUAGGAAAGGAAAAAAAAGUAUAGGCCUUGUUAUUGUUUUAGGCUCGCUACUGGUGGUGGUGGUGGUGUGUUUGUGAUUUUGCAGCUUGCGUGUGUCUGGUGUCCGCCGGUGCCUGGUACAGCAAAGUGAGGCUUGCACUGCACCAGAGAGGGAAGGCUGUAGCUGCUGCUGUCUAUGUUGCUAAGGAGACUCAUCCUUCCUACAGCAAGAACCUUUCACUGCCGCCACUACAGCAUGGAGCUCAAGGAGAUCGUGGCAGUCCUGAACCGCUUCGCUGCGCCGUCCCUGGCUGAGUCCUGGGACAACGUGGGUCUCCUGGUGCAGCCAUACACUCAGAGAGAGAUCAAAACUGUGCUGUUGACCAAUGACCUGAGUGAGGAGGUGAUGGAUGAGGCAGUGCAACACAAGGCUGACCUCAUCCUCUCCUACCACCCACCUCUCUUCCGGCCCUUCAAGAAAAUCACUACUGGAUGGAAGGACAGGAUUGUUGCGUGCUGCCUGGAGAAGGGCAUUGCUGUGUACUCGCCCCACACGGCAUACGACACGCUGAAGGGAGGCGUCAACGACUGGUUGCUCAAAGCUUUUGAUGUGGGUGAAGUGACUCCACUGCAGCAGAAGGAUGUCCCGCUGCCACACAGCCACCAGGUGGAGGCAGCCCUGGAGUCUGAUGCUGCUGUUCAGGACUUGAUCCAGAGAGUCACUCAAGAGGUUGGGGAGCAAGUCACUGUUUUAAAGUAUGGUACAAAUUGCAUGAAGGUCCUUUGUGGAGAGAGAGAUCUGCCUGCCAUUGUCAGUCUGACCAGUACAAAUUCUGCUGCUCCAGCCAAACUUGUGGUCACUAAACUAGAAAAGGUGCCUUUAGUGGGGCACGGUGCAGGGCGGCGGGGCAGCCUGGCAGAGCCAAUCACUGUACAGCAGGCCAUCAGCCGGGUCAAGACUCACCUUGGCUUGCCUCACCUGCGAGUGGCCUUGGCUCACGGCUCGACUCUCGACACUCAAGUCAAUAGUGUGGCAGUGUGUGCUGGGUCUGGGGUGUCGGUGCUGCGUGGAGCCAGUGCUGACCUGUGGCUUACCGGGGAGAUGAGUCACCAUGAGGUCUUGGAUGCAACACACGGAGGCUCCACCGUCAUCCUUGUUGAUCACUCCAACUCAGAGCGAGGCUUUCUUAAGGAGCUGCAGCCUACACUACACCAACUCUUUGAGGAGAAAGUAAAUGUCCUCAUUUCACAGAAGGACAGAGAUCCACUUCAGAUCAUUUAAUUUCCAAAAAGUUGAUUGAUCAAUGGAUUUCAUCACAGGACUCGCAUCAGGAAAACGAGCAAUGACAGAGUGACAGCAGCAGUAGCACCAGGUCACCAGUCAAACUAAUCAAGUGUCUGUCACAGCCACGUAUUGGCACCACAGCAGUAUUCUAUAUGGUUUGAUAUUUUGGUUUAGAAGGUGAAAUACAUGCAUGCAUCUUUUAAGUGGCUGUGCCUUGAUGGAUGAGAAGUACACAAUUUUAGUGCCUAAUUUAACUUAAUAGAUGAAGUAAAUAAAAUUAAAAGUAUAAAAAAUCUUAUUUACUUUAGCUAUAAAAUACACAACUACACAUUACACUUAACCUCAGUGCUUGGUGAAGCGCUGACACACUGCCACUCAACAAAAGCAACAAACUUUUGUAAUACAAGUUUAGGACCAUCCAACAGUUCCAAGAGUAGCACUUACUCAUUGGCACUUAUAAGGCAUAUUAUUCAAACAGUUAAAUAGCAUCAUAGUCACAUGCAGCACAUCGCAAAUCAUUCCAUGUCACCAUUGUUCCAUGGAGACUUACAUCUGGCAACAGUCAUAAGGCUAGUGCAUGUACCAUAUUGUGUACUAAAAUAAAACCUUCCAUACAGAUACAGAACACAGUCGUUCACCGUCACAAGACGGUAACGUGACAGUGUAGAGAGCAGCAGCAUUGUUAAAGAGUAAUGGAAAGACUUGAGAGGCUACUUCAAAAUGCUCUCUUCUUAUGGGAAAGGCACAUAAAUACUUGUAUUAUUGCAUCACUCACAAUGAUUAUCUGAGCUAAUAUAAUGAAUUUUAUAUUACAUGCCAACAUAAUAUUGCUUUACAAAACCAUGUCAAAAGAAAUAUAAUCAAAUAAAAAAAUAAUUGCA